rnacentral:rRNA from 1 species
UCCGGUUGAUCCUGCCGGAGCGUACUGCUAUUGGAAUUCGACUAAGCCAUGCGAGUCAAGGUGUCUUCGGACGCCGGCAAACGGCUCAGUAACACGUAGGUAAUCUACACCUCAGGACUGAGAUAACCCCGGGAAACUGGGGCUAAUACCAGAUAGAUAAAAGAUACUGGAAUGUUCUUUUAUCCAAAGCUUUUGUGCCUGAGGAUGAGCCUGCGCCCGAUUAGGUAGUUGGUGGGGUAAUGGCCCACCAAGCCUGCGAUCGGUACGGGCAGUGGGAGCUGUAGCCCGGAGUUGGGGACUGAGACAAGGCCCCAGGCCCUACGGGGCGCACAGGCGCGAAACCUCUGCAAUGCGGGAAACCGUGACAGGGGGAUUCCAAGUGCUCAUGCAUUGCAUGGGCUGUUCUUUGGUCUAAGUAACCAGAGGAGUAAGGGCUGGGCAAGACCGGUGCCAGCCGCCGCGGUAAUACCGGCAGCUCGAGUGGUAGCCGCGAUUAUUGGGCCUAAAACGUUCGUAGCCGGAUAAGUAAGUCUUUGGUUAAAUCCUACGACUUAACCGUGGGAAAUCUAGAGAUACUGCUUGUCUUGAGACCGGGAGAGGUUGGAGGUACUCCCAGGGUAGGGGUGAAAUCCUGUAAUCCUGGGGGGACCACCUGUGGCGAAGGCGUCCAACUGGAACGGCUCUGACGGUGAGGGACGAAACCUAGGGGAGCGAGCCGGAUUAGAUACCCGGGUAGUCCUAGGCGUAAAUGAUGCGAGUUAAGUGUGGGGGCAUCUACGAGAUGGCCCUGUGCUGUAGGGUAGCCGUUAAACUCGCUGCCUGGGGAGUACGGUCGCAAGGCUGAAACUUAAAUUUUUUGGCGGGGGAUACCACACAGAGGUGGAGGCUGCGGUUCAAUUGGAUUCAACGCCGGAAAACUCACCGGGAGCGACAGCAGUAUGAUUGCCAGGUUGAUGACCUUGCUUGACAAGCUGAGAGGAGGUGCAUGGCCGCCGUCAGUUCUACCGUGAGGCGUCCUGAAUCCCGCGCCAUCGCGGCCGGAGCAUGCGAC